rnacentral:rRNA from 1 species
GAUGAACGCUGGCGGCGUGCCUAAUACAUGCAAGUCGAGCGAACGGACGAGAAGCUUGCUUCUCUGAUGUUAGCGGCGGACGGGUGAGUAACACGUGGAUAACCUACCUAUAAGACUGGGAUAACUUCGGGAAACCGGAUCUAAUACCGGAUGAUAUUUUGAACCGCAUGGUUCAAAAGUGAAAGACGGUCUUGCUGUCACUUAUAGAUGGAUCCGCGCUGCAUUAGCUAGUUGGUAAGGUAACGGCUUACCAAGGCAACGAUGCAUAGCCGACCUGAGAGGGUGAUCGGCCACACUGGAACUGAGACGCGGUCCAGACUCCUACGGGAGGCAGCAGUAGGGAAUCUUCCGCAAUGGGCGAAAGCCUGACGGAGCAACGCCGCGUGAGUGAUGAAGGUCUUCGGAUCGUAAAACUCUGUUAUUAGGGAAGAACAUAUGUGUAAGUAACUGUGCACAUCUUGACGGUACCUAAUCAGAAAGCCACGGCUAACUACGUG